AGGUGCCAGAACUGAGGCCCAGCAAGUUCUGGCUGGAAAAAAGCCCUUUGUGCUGAGAAUAAGUCUGAGGGCUAUGAUGUCUACCUCAUAUUGAAGGGAGAGCAUUGUGUGCUUCUGAGCUUUGUAUUACAAAGUAAGGAAUGAAGAACUAACAACAUGUAUGUAAACCAGACCUGAGGGCUGCCAUUGGAGCUGGCCAUCUCAGUACUGGUUGCAUUUGAAAAAGGUCAAAGCCAUUUUAAUCCUGGUAGUGGGGAUCUCUAGCCGAGAGCAGUUUCACCCCAUCUCCCUUACUCUCACUCACCCACACAAUCACUAACCUAGGAAUUGCUGUUGUGGCAGCAGGGAGACUGUAGCAGUGGCUGCUGAUGCCUUGGCAGCAGUUGUUCUCUUUCAUCCACUUACAUGAUGAUUGAGACCAGGACUUUUUUUCAGCAAGAACUUGCUAGGGCUGAGUUCCGGCACCUCUCAGGUGGGCGCCAUUGCCAUUAUAAGAGAACAAAGGGGUGUUCGUGGUGAGUUCCAGCACCUCUUUUUCUAGAAAAAUAGCACUGAUUGAGACUCACAAUAUGCCUUGGAAAGAAGUUGUAAUUUAAUGAACAGUGACACGCCUACUCUCCAUUCUGAGCAUAUACAUAUGGUGAUCAUUAUAUCAAUAUUCUUUAAUUCUUUGCAGAUUUGAAUUCCUUCAGUGUACAGUUCUGGCUCAUUAAUUUACUAGUCCCUACCCCCCCCCAAAAAAAACCAUUCACAAGGCUACCCCUAUUUCCCUCUUCCAUCUGGUGUACAACAAAAGAGAAAAUCAAUUAAACUUGUCUAAAGAUGGGGAUAUAAAUCUCUUAAAUAGCAAUUGUAUUUCCCGUAAUACAGAUAUAUUUAUCAUUAAGUAGAUGGGUCAUAUAGUCACGGACAAAUAAGCUUUUAUUCUGCUUCUGCAUUGAUUUUUUUAAAAACCCUACCUCUAACCCACUGGCUUCCAUUUAUGUAAGAAAACAGCAUUUGCCAUCAAAGUCUUUCCUUGAUAUGAAACCACAGAGAAACAACCCAUUAAGCUGAGUGACUCUCAGUCAAAUACCACUCUGUCAUGUGUAGUUUGUGCACAAAACAUGGUUUCGUAUAGUCGUGAUUUGAUAAUAGGUUUGUACAUUGUGUGAUAUUUUAUAACCAUUAUCCUCUCUAAUAGGUCAGACGCACUUUGCUGAAAAUGUCUUGGUAGUGAGUGGAAUUUAAAAAGCUGAAACCGAUUCCAGAUCUUGUUCAUUUUGGAGAGACCCCUGGGAAGAGGCCCUCCUGCUGUAAAAUUCCCAGAUGCAAAGGGAUAAGCCACAGUAUGAAAAGCAGCAUACCAUCAAGCAGCUAUAGGUUAAUAGAGAGCUCAUGCUAUCUUCAAUCCAUGGUUCCUUUGGUUAAAAGGAUCUCAGCUAGCAAGGCAGUGGGAAGCUUCUUUGCAAGUCAAAACCAAGACAGAUCUAUUGAUCUGUUUAAUUGGGGGGGGGGAUAUUUUUUUGAAAUCAUAAACUAAUGUGGAGAUGUGGCUAAAGAUUUGAGAGAAACUUAAACCAACGGAUUCAUGCAUCCCCUAUUGCAUGAUAAUUUGUGACCAGGUUGUCUCUGCCCUGGAAGAGCCACAGUUGGUUCAUCCUCCUCAGCUGGCAAAAAGAUCCUUCAUGCCCUUGGGCAUCAAGAUAUGGAGCCAGAUCUAACGCCUCCUCCAACUGUAAAGUUGUCCAGUGAAAAACCCUCUCCAGAAUGCUGCCUCCCACAUCAGACAAACCAACAGCACCUCCAUUUUAUGUAGAUUAUGCUUCAGUUUAUUAGACCUCCUUCAGCCCUGGUUUAGAGGGAACAAUGGUCUGAUUCAAAGUUGGGGCAUAAUUAUAUGUUAGGUGCAAAUACAUGUUGAGCAUUGCCAUUACUUUUAAAAUGAAAAAUCUGUUUUGAGAUGAGAGAUGUGGCAUGUAACUGUUUCCCUACUCAGUGUUUCUUCAUUCACAAUUGUACCAUUCCAACCAACUUUUUCCUCCCAGGGUUCCAAAAACCCCCACAUAUUUUCAGGUAUUUAGACAGAUUUGCCCAAACUGACACAGAAAAGUCAUUUAUUAUUUGGUAAAAAUUAUCUUAAACCUCUUCUGCAUCAAUAACUGUCUGUCAUGCCAUCACUCAACACUGAGUGGGUUCCAUAGUGUCAGACAUCCAAUUACUAAAUUAAUUGUCUGUAUGAAUAAAUUGAUGCUUUCCAUUCUGAUACAUAAACUUGUUCAUCUAUAUUCAAAUGUAAGAAUAAUGCUAUUUCUCUGUAUGUAUCUCAGUUACCAAAUCAAGAAAAAGCCGAAUGCGCUUCUGCCUAACUGGCCCAGAUAGAACCUUUGCUGAAGUGGCAAUAGCAGCAUUUGGCUUUGGCUUUGGAACCAUUUGCACUUAGCUGCAUCUGCUCUGGAAUACCACGAGAGCUUGUCAGUCCUAUUUAAAGCCUGCUUUUUAGCAAACAGUGGUCUAUAAUGAGCUGUGUGCCCAGGGCAUCCCAAUUUAUUUCCGUGGAGUUUUGCCAGUGCAACAGAGAGCAAGAACUUGUUCCAGAUUUAUUAAAUAUAAGCUGAAUAAAAAUAAAUGAGCCAUCAAUAUACACAAAGUAUGCUCUGGUGCUCUUAGAUCGCUUCAGGGAAACUUCAACUGUGCAUUCUGGCCCCAGGUGACCUUUCGCUGUUGGGGUGGUACAGGCAGAGACUUGCCUUGCAUCAACUAAAGCAGUAUAUUACUUUGGGCAUGUGGGGAAAGAACCACAGAACACACCGAUAUGACGGUCCAGUAUUGCACCAGUGCUAGACAAAGGGACUGUUCCAGUUGUCCUAAGGAUGAGAUGCAAGGGACCAGAAGUGGCACCACCUUCUCCACCCUGUUCCCAUCUUUCCUCCCAGAUCCUUGUCUUGCUAAAUAAGAGCAUCACAGGCUGCUUUUAUCAUUUGCGCUGCAAAUGAAGUUUUCAGCUCUGCAGCAUCUUUUCACAGCUCUUUGCUUGCAGUUCAAAAGCAAUGGCAAUGAUUGUUUUCUAACUGGAAUUAAGGAGGCAAGUGUAAGAGCAUUCAGGGAUCCUCCGAAAUCUAAAGCGGUGGCUCUGCUAGCUGAAAUAUACAAAUGGGGGGGGGGGUCACAACUAUAACAAAUGAAGCAUUGCAAUCAUUUGAGGGUGCAACCCUAAGGGACGUUGUCCCAGAGACCAUAGGAUACAAUUGUCUUCCUCUCUCCAUUAGUGGAAAGGGAGGUCUACCCUCAUAUGCUGCCUCAGGAUGACAUCAGAAAUUUCCACUGCCAUAGAUACUGCAAUGUCAAUAAGACCCCAGAGGAGCUCUUCCAAUGUUGUGUAAUGGUUGGAUUGGUUGAUGCUUUGGAUCUACUUGGACCCAAGGGCCUCUUGUUUCCUGGACAUGCCCCACGAAUGGGAGGAGUGUAUUACCAUUACCCUGAAACUGCAGCUCUCGUUUUCCAUCCUAUUGGAACCAAUGGAUGUGUGUGUGAGCAAUUGGCAAAGAAAACAAACAACGUAGGAAAAUGCCCCUCACUUUUUUACUGUUUAUCCACUAUGGACAACCCAAUUUGGAUGACUUUGUUAACUAUAUAAUCAGCAUCAUCUACCGUCACCAAUGAAUAGGGAGAUAAUCCUAAGGAGUGCCCCACUGUCCUGAUUCCCACUGUUAGGAUCAAGCAGAUAAUUUGGUAAUACAGCCUCCCUCCCUCUCUCAAAUUCAGUUUAGUAGAGUCACAAGAUCAGUGGUGGCUGGUGCAUUAGAGUGAAAGGGACACUGCCCAACCUCAGUCUACCCUGAGCCAGACCCCAGCUACUUUCUUUCUUUCUUACAGCCUUUCUAGUGGGUGACCCUGUCUGUCAGUUUCCUCCUCCCAGGGGUGCUGACUUGAAUAAAAUAUUGGGGGGGGGGCAGGUAGGCCCUGCCCUGCAUAAUCAAUCACAUGACAAGGUAUGCACACACCAUUUGAAUGGCAAUGCCCAUCAACCUGAGGGUGCCCGGCCCCCUCAAAUAUUUUAUCGGGGGCGCCAAUAAGUUGGCUCCUAUGCCUCUUCCUCAGUCUUAGUGGUGCUCCUUGUGGAACUCAGUAGGGAGGAGGAUUGGGGCAGAAAAAGAAUUGGUAGGUUCUGUUUGUAACUGACUCUGGCUCUUACUUGCUCUUGCUCCAUACUUUCCACCCUACCAGUCCCAAAGGACACCAGUCACUACUGGACCAGAUACAAAGAGGGACAAUUUGGGCAGAUGUAGCUUGUCACACAGAGGUUCAAAAGGGUGAAUACACCAGUAGACCCUGGUUCUUGUCCUCCAUUAGAUCUGGUUGCCCCAAGUUUGGUAAUUCUCUUUCGAAGAUGCCAUUCUACCUAUCACUAGCACCCAGUACUAGGGCCAGAGCUAGUCAGAGAAGCUCAUCAGAAAUUGCUCAUCCCAUGAUUUAGACCAUGAGGCUGAAUCAUCUUUGACUUACUUCUCCUCCUGAGUAGCCCCUUCAUCCUGAGGAAACCCCAUGCCAUAAUGCCCCCCAAACACUUGUAUGCCAAUUUUGGACCUCCUAGUGUUGUUAUUCACAUUUAGUGCUCAUAGAGUUUACUGAGUGCUUUAGGGCACAAUCCACCCGGAAUGGUACUGGAACAAGCUUUGAAGCAAUAAGCAGGACUAAGGCUGUUUGCAAAUUAAUUUCAUACGUUUUAACCAGGAGAAGCUCCAUGUAUGUAUUUUUCCCAUAAGUAGUAUAUUCUAUCAUAAAUAUUGGAAUUAGUUAGUUAUAAAGGGUUAUAAUGUGGUCAGGUUUUUGAAUUGUGUUAGUGGGUUUCCUGAAAUGCUACAAAUUCAGCUAAUUUUAAAGUGGCAUUCGUAAUACAUAAAACAUAAUUACUUAAAACCUAUAAAUAAUUUCUUGCACAUUCUUUUUAACUUUGGUCUGUUUUUAUCCACACUUCAUUGAGUUUUAAAUAAACAAACAGGAGUGCUAAAUAAACAGGCAUUUAUUUUUAAGCUUUA